rnacentral:lncRNA from 1 species
CCAAAUCCACUCUGGGUCCAGAAUGAUGACAUCUUAACCAAUUACACCUGCAGAGAUCUAUGUCUGAGCAUCAUCACCUCCAAGGUGCUGGGUAGAUGUGAGAGGUUUGGGGAGACUCUGUUCAAUCUGUGCAGGAAGUUUGUUGUGAAGAGCAGCCCCCUUUGCCCCAGCGUGGGGGGGACUUUAUUUCUCACUCCACUGUUCACCCCUGAAAUACCCCAAAGCUGUAUGUGAUAUUAAGGAAGUCACAUGUUUUCUGAAGGUGUUUCUUUUCUUGCUUCUUUCCCUAGGGACAGAAGGCGAGCAGGUGCUUUCUCCCCCGGGCAGGGGAGGCGAAACCGAGCCCGGGACGGUGGGCCCGCAGAUCAGAAGGGAGUCUCCUGAGGCUGUGAGCCCCCAGCCGCUCCUGGCCCCUUCUCACCUCUGCAUUUACCGUGCCUUCAGCCACUCAGAGGCCGGGCUGAGGAGUUGUGCCAAAGACCGUCGACUGGCAGAAUCUGAAACACGUGUCACUCGGCCCUUUCCCUGA